UACGGAGGGGGCUAGCGUUGUUCGGAAUUACUGGGCGUAAAGCGCGUGUAGGCUGCUCUGCAAGUCGGGUGUGAAAGCCCUGGGCUCAACCUAGGAAGUGCACUCGAAACUGCGGAGCUUGAGUCCUGGAGAGGAAGGCGGAAUUCUCGGUGUAGAGGUGAAAUUCGAUAGAUAUCGAGAGGAACGACCGGUGGCGAAGGCGG
rnacentral:rRNA from 1 species